AAUUCGGCGGGUGGCCCCGCGAGGGCGCCCGCCGGAGGAGCGCAAACACUCUGUUUUNUUAGCGCGUCUCUGAGUGGAUACAGCGAAAUAAAUCAAAACUUUGCAACAACGGAUCUUCUUGGUUCUGGCAUCGAUGAAGAACGCAGCGAAAUGCGAUAAGUAAUGUGAAUUGCAGAAUUCAGUGAAUCAUCGAAUCUUUGAACGCACAUUGCGCCCGNUAGUAUUCUGGCGGGCAUGCCUGUUCGAGCGUCAUUUCAACCCCUCAAGCUCCGCUUGGUGCUGGGGCCCUACGUGCGCCGUAGGCCCCGAAUUACAGUGGCGGGCUCGCCGCGAUCCCGAGCGUAGUAACACACCUCGCUCUGGGGCUCCGCGGCGGGUGCCGGCCGUGAAAACGACCAACACAAACGCAAGGUGACCUCGGAUCAG
rnacentral:rRNA from 1 species